rnacentral:rRNA from 1 species
UUGCUCCACCGAAAGAAAAAGAGUGGCGAACGGGUGAGUAACACGUGGGUAACCUGCCCAUCAGAAGGGGAUAACACUUGGAAACAGGUGCUAAUACCGUAUAACACUAUUUUCCGCAUGGAAGAAAGUUGAAAGGCGCUUUUGCGUCACUGAUGGAUGGACCCGCGGUGCAUUAGCUAGUUGGUGAGGUAACGGCUCACCAAGGCCACGAUGCAUAGCCGACCUGAGAGGGUGAUCGGCCACACUGGGACUGAGACACGGCCCAGACUCCUACGGGAGGCAGCAGUAGGGAAUCUUCGGCAAUGGACGAAAGUCUGACCGAGCAACGCCGCGUGAGUGAAGAAGGUUUUCGGAUCGUAAAACUCUGUUGUUAGAGAAGAACAAGGAUGAGAGUAGAACGUUCAUCCCUUGACGGUAUCUAACCAGAAAGCCACGGCUAACUACGUGCCAGCAGCCGCGGUAAUACGUAGGUGGCAAGCGUUGUCCGGAUUUAUUGGGCGUAAAGCGAGCGCAGGCGGUUUCUUAAGUCUGAUGUGAAAGCCCCCGGCUCAACCGGGGAGGGUCAUUGGAAACUGGGAGACUUGAGUGCAGAAGAGGAGAGUGGAAUUCCAUGUGUAGCGGUGAAAUGCGUAGAUAUAUGGAGGAACACCAGUGGCGAAGGCGGCUCUCUGGUCUGUAACUGACGCUGAGGCUCGAAAGCGUGGGGAGCGAACAGGAUUAGAUACCCUGGUAGUCCACGCCGUAAACGAUGAGUGCUAAGUGUUGGAGGGUUUCCGCCCUUCAGUGCUGCAGCAAACGCAUUAAGCACUCCGCCUGGGGAGUACGACCGCAAGGUUGAAACUCAAAGGAAUUGACGGGGGCCCGCACAAGCGGUGGAGCAUGUGGUUUAAUUCGAAGCAACGCGAAGAACCUUACCAGGUCUUGACAUCCUUUGACCACUCUAGAGAUAGAGCUUCCCCUUCGGGGGCAAAGUGACAGGUGGUGCAUGGUUGUCGUCAGCUCGUGUCGUGAGAUGUUGGGUUAAGUCCCGCAACGAGCGCAACCCUUAUUGUUAGUUGCCAUCAUUUAGUUGGGCACUCUAGCGAGACUGCCGGUGACAAACCGGAGGAAGGUGGGGAUGACGUCAAAUCAUCAUGCCCCUUAUGACCUGGGCUACACACGUGCUACAAUGGGAAGUACAACGAGUUGCGAAGUCGCGAGGCUAAGCUAAUCUCUUAAAGCUUC